rnacentral:rRNA from 1 species
GAGAGUGGCGAACGGGUGAGUAAUGCGUGACUAACCUGCCGUAUGGUUGGGGAUAGCUCCUGGAAACGGGUGGUAAUACCCAAUGUUCCAGCUGGAUGCAUGUCUGGUUGGGAAAGCUUUUUGUGCCAUAUGAUGGGGUCGCGUCCUAUCAGCUUGUUGGUGGGGUGAUGGCCUACCAAGGCGUCGACGGGUAGCCGGCCUAAGAGGGCGACCGGCCACAUUGGGACUGAGAUACGGUCCAGACUCC